GGGAGGCUUUGGACCAAGUCGGUACAUGCAUGCGGGGUGGGGCUGGAAAGAUAGAUUGGCCUAUGGGAACUUAGAAGAAGAAAGCGGGGGAGAAAGAUGUUAGUGGAGGGAAGGUGGGGAAACACAUUGGAGAAACAGUACCGAAAGUGGGUUUCUUGAGGCAGGAAGAGCUGUUGAAAUAGAAGAACUCCUCUGUUGCAUUUAGAGCAAAGGGACAUUUGUGAGCUGUGUGGGAAGCCCAUGUGUGUUCAUCCCCUAUUGUCAUGCUUCCAACUUUCAUUUCUUUUUUUUUUCCUCUCCAAUACAUGUGAAAUGAUUGUGGCUUAGAAUGAUACUGUUUUGGUAACCUUAGGGCUAUACUUAAUGUCUGAGUUUAGGGCUUAACCAAACAUAGCUUACCUGGAAACUGUUCUUUAUUUAUCAGCAUUCAGAAUAGAAGCUGAGUCACAGCAGUGACACUGACACAUCUGGUUUCUGUCUCAUACUUCCUUAUUUCCUGGCUGUUGGUGAUCUUCACUUUUGCUUGUUGGGAACUUGAAAUACACCGUCUCAAUAACCAUUCACCCUGCUUACGAAUGAUGCCCUCAGACAGGGCCUUCACUGCUUCUCCUCCCAGACAGCAAUGGCUUUGUUUUAAUGACUGUUUUUCAACAUUGAACUAUAUAGCAUUUACUCAAUUAACUGUCAGCAAAAUAAUGUCACCUGCUUAAUUUCAAACACUGGCAAGUAACUUGGAUUUUCAUCUGUCUGUAAACUGGAUUUCAUUUGUGUUUAAAAGGAAGCCAGGGAAAGAACCCAUAUGUUUUUUGGGAAAGGCCUUUAUUCCUUAUUUUUCUAGCUUAGUAAUCAAUUAUAAUCUAUUCACUCCAUCUCCAUGUCCCAUACCCUGUUCACAGGUGAGGGUGGGGAGUACCACCAUCUUAGAGGUGAAGCUGGAAAAACGUGGUGAGAUGGAUUCAUACUGUACAAGAUGUGAGGAAUAUCCUUUUUAUCACAAGAAAGACUAUGAGAAUCCACCAAUGGAGGAGUGGCUAUUCACAAAGGAUAUAGAGAGCAGGGCUUUAUCAGCCCAUCUGGGGAGCAGAGGACAUUAAAAUCCCAUCAUUCAUCCUAGAAGUAGGGAAUCUCACCAAAAAUGUGAAAAACCAACCACCUUCUUAUCAGACCUCUUCAACUGAGAUGAUCCCCAAAGGCGGUAGCCAGCUUGCCCUUUACUUCUACUGCAGAAACUCCUGCAGCGUUGUUGACUCCAUCUGAGAGCAUCAAAUCUCAAGAAGGACUGAGCAAGUUCAAGGUAAGCAGGAUUGAUGAUCUGGGGGAGAAUAUGCCCUUAGAAAGAAACAGUGCCCUGAACUUUCUACAUAUUAUCUCUGCUGAGGUGGUGGGUGAGAACUUGCUUUCACUGGAGAGUCACAGCUGACUAAGAGUCACAGCUGGAUGCAGACGGAGAAUGAGAUUCUGGAAGCACAAAGAAUGAAUUCUCACUCCACUCUGGGUAUGUACCAGUGCAAAACUAUCAGAUGAUAACAGCUGCUGUGGGAAUAAAGACAAGUGGACAUGUGUUGAGCUCCA
rnacentral:lncRNA from 1 species